rnacentral:rRNA from 1 species
AACGAACGCUGGCGGCAUGCCUUACACAUGCAAGUCGAACGGCAGCACGGGAGCAAUCCUGGUGGCGAGUGGCGAACGGGUGAGUAAUAUAUCGGAACGUGCCCAGUCGUGGGGAUAACGUAGCGAAAGCUACGCUAAUACCGCAUACGAUCUAUGGAUGAAAGCGGGGGAUCGCAAGACCUCGCGCGAUUGGAGCGGCCGAUAUCAGAUUAGGUAGUUGGUGAGGUAAAGGCUCACCAAGCCGACGAUCUGUAGCUGGUCUGAGAGGACGACCAGCCACACUGGGACUGAGACACGGCCCAGACUCCUACGGGAGGCAGCAGUGGGGAAUUUUGGACAAUGGGCGCAAGCCUGAUCCAGCAAUGCCGCGUGCAGGAUGAAGGCCUCGGUUGUAAC